rnacentral:tmRNA from 1 species
GGGGGUGAGCAGGGUUCGACGAGAGUGGUAGAAGUAAUAACAGCAGGCCGGAGUUGGUCGAUGGCUCCGCAAAAAUCGACUAAAAAAUAAACAACGAACUUAUAGUUCAACCAAAGCUGAGAGUUGUGCAUAGCACAUUUGCUAUGCCUAACACGAUGCAGAUGGCCGCUUAACGCGGCCUCGUUUUACCUUGGAUACCUGCUACAGGGAUAAAACGAUAAGAGCAGGUUAGUUUUAAAUAGGUUGUACCGUCUGUUUAAAAUGAAUUAAAACGGGCUGGUUUAUAGCGUAAUCCCGUCCGGAGACGGCGUUAUAAACGAGAUAAAUCUUCCGGACUAAGCCUGUAGCGGUUUUACUGAAACAUUUUCGGACGCGGGUUCAAUUCCCGCCACCUCCACCA